UACGUAGGGGGCAAGCGUUGUCCGGAAUCAUUGGGCGUAAAGAGCGUGUAGGCGGCCCGGUAAGUCCGCUGUGAAAGUCUAGGGCUCAACCCUGGAAUGCCGGUGGAAACUGUCGGGCUAGAGUCCGGAAGAGGCGAGUGGAAUUCCUGGUGUAGCGGUGAAAUGCGCAGAUAUCAGGAGGAACACCAAUGGCGAAGGCAGCUCGCUGGGACGGUACUGACGCUGAGACGCGAAAGCGUGGGGAGCAAACAGG
rnacentral:rRNA from 1 species